rnacentral:lncRNA from 1 species
GCAGCUCCUUUCUGGACCUGAAGGCUGUGGCAGCUCCUUCCCUGAACCUGCGGCAGGUGUUCAGGCUGAUCUGACCCCGUCAUACGCACAGGUAGCGGGUGCUUCUCCUGUGUGCGUACUCAGAGCGGUGCACAGGUAAUCUCUCCCAGGCCCUGACUUGUGAUAUCCCGGGAUCUUGUCUAAUUCUAUGGCAAAAGGCAGAAGAUGAAGGAAGUAAGGGACCGAGGCUCCAUAAGACGAAUCAGGAAACAGGAACCCUCAACACCAGAGGCCCAUGCUGCUGAUCUGGGGCUCUCCAGCCACAUUCAGUUCAGAACACAGUCCGGAGGUGAGAUAAGUGUGAGGACGUCGGGUGUAGACGAUGGGAAUCUUCUUCUAGUUGCAAUCACUUCUAGCAAGCUUCCAGAGACAAUGGGACUGGGCAACCCUGAGGAAGAGGUCUGUGCUACAGCAAGCUGACAAGCCACUAUCCUGUAACCUCAGAUUGUGGAUGACACUUGAGGGCUCAAGAGCUUCUGACCACCCUGGCACAACUGGGAUGGAGGUGUUAACCAAUGUGGCCGGCAACGGAGGGGGCAUCACAGAAGCCCUGAGAGACAGCUCCAUAGGAAGAUGGCCCAAAUGAAGCGAUGGAGUCUCAGGGAGAAGAGCCCACCCAGCUGCUGUGGAAGAGUCUCUGCUGGAGGUGGUGGGGUGGUG